rnacentral:rRNA from 1 species
CAGUAGCCGCGGGAAUACGAAGGGGGCUAGCGUUGUUCGGAAUUACUGGGCGUAAAGCGCACGUAGGCGGAUAUUUAAGUCAGGGGUGAAAUCCCGCAGCUCAACUGCGGAACUGCCUUUGAUACUGGGUAUCUUGAGUAUGGAAGAGGUUAGUGGAAUUGCGAGUGUAGAGGUGAAAUUCGUAGAUAUUCGCAGGAACACCAGUGGCGAAGGCGGCUAACUGGUCCAUAACUGACGCUGAGGUGCGAAAGCGUGGGGAGCAAACAGGAUUAGAUACCCCGGUAGUCCCUGUCUCUUAUAC